GUAGGCGGCAAGCGUUGUCCGGAAUUAUUGGGCGUAAAGCGCGCGCAGGCGGUUCUUUAAGUCUGAUGUGAAGGCCCACGGCUCAACCGUGGAGGGUCAUUGGAAACUGGAGAACUUGAGUACAGAAGAGGAAAGCGGAAUUCCACGUGUAGCGGUGAAAUGCGUAGAGAUGUGGAGGAACACCAGUGGCGAAGGCGGCUUUCUGGUCUGUAACUGACGCUGAGGCGCGAAAGCGUGGGGGAGCAAACAGGAUUAGAUACCCUGGUAGUCCACGCCGUAAACGAUGAGUGCUAAGUGUUAGGGGGUUUCCGCCCCUUAGUGCUGCAGCUAACGCAUUAAGCACUCCGCCUGGGAGUACGGCCGCAAGGCUG
rnacentral:rRNA from 1 species